rnacentral:misc_RNA from 1 species
GUGAAUCAUCGAAUCUUUGAACGCACAUUGCGCCCUUUGGUAUUCCGAAGGGCAUGCCUGUUCGAGCGUCAUUUAAACUCUCAAGCCCGGCUUGGUGUUGGGAAUGGCCGUCGGCCGUCCUGCAACGCGUUGAGCGUGACCGUCUGGCAUCAAGCGUAGCAAGUUCCUCGCUUAGCUGUCCGGGCGUUCGUCGCCAGCAAAACAACCCUCUCUAAGUUUGACCUCGGAUCAGGUAGGGAUACCCGCUGAACUUAAGCAUAUCAAUAAGCGGAGGA